rnacentral:rRNA from 1 species
AUUGAACGCUGGCGGCAGGCCUAACACAUGCAAGUCGAGCGAGCGGCGGACGGGUGAGUAAUGUCUGGGAAACUGCCUGCUGGAGGGGGAUAACUACUGGAAACGGUAGCUAAUACCGCAUACCCUCAGAUGUGCCCAGAUGGGAUUAGCGAGUAGGUGGGGUAACGGCUCACCUCGGCGACGAUCCCUCGCUGGUCUGAGAGGAUGACCAGCCACACUGGAACUGAGACACGGUCCAGACUCCUACGGGAGGAAGCAGGGGGGAAUAUUGUACAAUGGGCGCACGCCUGAUGCAGCCAUGCCGCGUGUGUGAAGAGGGCCUUCGGGUUGUAAAGCACUUUCAGCGGGGAGGCGUUACCCGCAGAAGAAGCAACGGCUAACUCCGUGCCAGCAGCCGCGGUAAUAC